rnacentral:rRNA from 1 species
AACGCUGGCGGCGUGCCUAAUACAUGCAAGUCGAGCGAACAGAGAAGGAGCUUGCUCCUUCGACGUUAGCGGCGGACGGGUGAGUAACACGUGGGCAACCUACCUUAUAGUUUGGGAUAACUCCGGGAAACCGGGGCUAAUACCGAAUAAUCUGUUUCACCUCAUGGUGAAACACUGAAAGACGGUUUCGGCUGUCGCUAUAGGAUGGGCCCGCGGCGCAUUAGCUAGUUGGUGAGGUAACGGCUCACCAAGGCGACGAUGCGUAGCCGACCUGAGAGGGUGAUCGGCCACACUGGGACUGAGACACGGCCCAGACUCCUACGGGAGGCAGCAGUAGGGAAUCUUCCACAAUGGGCGAAAGCCUGAUGGAGCAACGCCGCGUGAGUGAAGAAGGAUUUCGGUUCGUAAAACUCUGUUGUAAGGGAAGAACAAGUACAGUAGUAACUGGCUGUACCUUGACGGUACCUUAUUAGAAAGCCACGGCUAACUACGUGCCAGCAGCCGCGGUAAUACGUAGGUGGCAAGCGUUGUCCGGAAUUAUUGGGCGUAAAGCGCGCGCAGGUGGUUUCUUAAGUCUGAUGUGAAAGCCCACGGCUCAACCGUGGAGGGUCAUUGGAAACUGGGAGACUUGAGUGCAGAAGAAGAUAGUGGAAUUCCAAGUGUAGCGGUGAAAUGCGUAGAGAUUUGGAGGAACACCAGUGGCGAAGGCGACUAUCUGGUCUGUAACUGACACUGAGGCGCGAAAGCGUUGGGAGCAAACAGGAUUAGAUACCCUGGUAGUCCACGCCGUAAACGAUGAGUGCUAAGUGUUAGGGGGUUUCCGCCCCUUAGUGCUGCAGCUAACGCAUUAAGCACUCCGCCUGGGGAGUACGGUC